rnacentral:snRNA from 1 species
GGAUGUGAGGGCAAUCUGGCUGCGACAUCUGUCACCUCAUUGAUCACCAGGGUUGAUUCAGCUGAUCUGGCUGGCUAGGCGGGUGUCCCCAUCCUCCUUCAGUGCUCCUCGUGCAUCCCUCCUGAAGCUGUGCGCUCAGUUGAAGAGGACAACCUUCCCUGAUAGAGGAGGACUGGUCUCGGUCAAGGGUAUAUGAGUAGCUGCACUCCCCUGCUAGAACCUCCAAACAAGCUCUGGGGAAUCAAACCUGGGUCCUCUGCAAGAGCAGCCAGUGCUCUUAACCACUGAGCCAUCUCUCCAGCCAACACAAUUUUAAAACAUUUUAAAUUUAUUAUCU